rnacentral:lncRNA from 1 species
CCUUCACUAGGAACUUGUUAGGAAUGCAAAAUCUCCAACCUCAUAAGACACCUCCUGAAUCAGAAGGUCAGGGUGGGGUCCAACAAUUUGUAUUUUAACAAGCUCUCCAAGUAAUUACAAAACUACUCAAACCCUCUUUAUAUAUUUACCCUUUGUUAAAGAGUCUCCCUUAAAAAUAUUGCCACAGAGGUCAAUGUAAGCAAUAUUUGUAUUUAUCCUACUUUUCCAGCCUGUAGACAUUUAUAAGGCCUUGAGAACUUUUCCUACUUUAGAUUCCCUUCUAGUUCAGUAGAGUAAGCUACAUUUAUCUGUUACCAACAAACCUAGUAAUAAUCCAUAAGUAAAA